CUAGGUGCAGGACCCAUUUCUCCGUCAACUCUGGGGCUGUAAAAUGUUGCAAUCGACAGCCUCUCCUUCCUAGAGUUCACUACUGCUCGAUGCUCGAUGCUGCGAUAAGCUCCAUUGGUGACAAUCUGCCGAAAAAGUCAUUAGUGGACUUUUCAAGCACUAUCCUGAAGAUAAACUCCAGCUUCCUGCCAAAUUUUGAUGCUUGAUUACAAGUGUGCAGUUUUACAAAAAAACCAGUCAUGAUAUGAUAGGUCAACAACAUCUUUCAAACAGGCUCUGAAACUGGCAUAUGUUUUGGGUUCAUAGAUACGUACCAUGUAUGGUAAAAUUAGGUACCUGGAAGAAUCCCCACUCUUUGGAUGCAGAGUCCAGCUUCUUC